UACGUAGGGAGCAAGCGUUGUCCGGAAUCAUUGGGCGUAAAGCGCGCGUAGGUGGCUUCGUAAGUCCGUUGUGAAAGUCAAAGGCUCAACCUUUGAAAGCCGAUGGAUACUGCGGAGCUAGAGUACGGAAGAGGCGAGUGGAAUUCCUGGUGUAGCGGUGGAAUGCGCAGAUAUCAGGAGGAACACCGGUGGCGAAGGCGGGUCUCUGGGCCGAUACUGACGCUGAGGAGCGAAAGCGUGGGGAGCGAACAGG
rnacentral:rRNA from 1 species